ACACAUGCAAGUCGAACGAUGAAGCCAGCUUGCUGGUGGAUUAGUGGCGAACGGGUGAGUAACACGUGAGUAACCUGCCCUUGACUCUGGGAUAAGCCUGGGAAACUGGGUCUAAUACCGGAUAUGACUCCUCAUCGCAUGGUGGGGGGUGGAAAGCUUUUUGUGGUUUUGGAUGGACUCGCGGCCUAUCAGCUUGUUGGUGAGGUAAUGGCUCACCAAGGCGACGACGGGUAGCCGGCCUGAGAGGGUGACCGGCCACACUGGGACUGAGACACGGCCCAGACUCCUACGGGAGGCAGCAGUGGGGAAUAUUGCACAAUGGGCGAAAGCCUGAUGCAGCGACGCCGCGUGAGGGAUGACGGCCUUCGGGUUGUAAACCUCUUUCAGUACGCGCUG
rnacentral:rRNA from 1 species